CUCUGCUCGCGAAAUAUCAGAUGGGACCUUUUUCAAAGCAAUAGAGGAUUAUGACCCGGACAUCAAGAGGAUUUUGCACCAAUUAAAGACGUUAUAUCAUGAUGAUCCAGUUUUAAAUCCACUUUCACCAUGGGACAGGCCGCCUCUGAAAAAUAUAUUUUGUAUCUAUGGAACAGACUUGAAAACUGAGGGAUUUGUUGGUGCCUGUUCUACAUUUAGCUGGUAACGGUGUUGUGGUGAAUGAUAGUUUUGGUAUCUUGGCAAUGGAAAAACAGGUUGGUUACUAUUUUGCACCGAGUGGCAAGCCCUACCCUGAUAAUUGGAUCAUUACCGAUGUGAUUUAUGAGAUUGAAGGUUCCUUGUUCUCAAGGUCAGGAAAUCUUGUUGAAGGAAAUCCAGGAGCUUCAAGUGGGGAUGAGACUGU